GAUGAAGAGCGUAGCGAAAUGCGAUAAGUAAUGUGAAUUGCAGAAUUCAGUGAAUCAUCGAAUCUUUGAACGCACAUUGCGCCCCCUGGUAUUCCGGGGGGCAUGCCUGUCCGAGCGUCAUUACAACCCUCAAGCUCAGCUUGGUAUUGGGCCCCGCCGCUCCGGCGGGCCCUAAAGUCAGUGGCGGUGCCGUCCGGCUCCGAGCGUAGUAAUUCUUCUCGCUCUGGAGGUCCGGUCGUGUGCUCGCCAGCAACCCCCAAUUUUUUUCAGGUUGACCUCGGAUCAGGUAGGGAUACCCGCUGAACUUAAGCAUAUCAAUAAGCGGAGGA
rnacentral:misc_RNA from 1 species